UCGACUAUAUUUAUCUAUAUCAGUGACACCUAACCUUAUUUAUAUGUUGCUGUUACUGUUGCUUUAGUUUUUUAUAAACUUGUCACUGCUUCUUUCGAUUCGAUCUGACUUUGGCUAUAAGGUGUUGCUGUUACUGUUGCUUUGGUUUUUUAUAAACUUGUCACUGCUU